rnacentral:rRNA from 1 species
UACGUAGGGUGCGAGCGUUAAUCGGAAUUACUGGGCGUAAAGGGUGCGCAGGCGGUUAUAUAAGACAGAUGUGAAAUCCCCGGGCUCAACCUGGGAACUGCGUUUGUGACUGUAUGACUAGAGUACGGUAGAGAGGGGUGGAAUUCCUGGUGUAGCAGUGAAAUGCGUAGAUAUCAGGAGGAACACCGGUGGCGAAGGCGGGUCUCUGGGCCGAUACUGACGCUGAGGAGCGAAAGCGUGGGGAGCGAACAGG